rnacentral:rRNA from 1 species
GACGAACGCUGGCGGCGCGCUUAACACAUGCAAGUCGAGCGAAGCGGCGGACGGGUGAGUAACACGUGAGUAACCUGCCUCAGACAUUGGGAUAGCCUCGGGAAACCGGGAUUAAUACCAAAUGGUCUAAGAUGGACUCGGGUCCCAUUAGCUCGUUGGUGAGGUAACGGCCCACCAAGGCGACGAUGGGUAGCCGGCCUGGGAGAUUGAACGGCAACAUUUGAACUAGGAAACGGUCCAAACUCUACGGGAGGCAGCAGUGGGGAAUAUUGCACAAUGGAGGGAACUCGGAUGCAGCGAGGCCGGGUGAACGAAGAAGGCUUGCGAGUCGUAAAGUUCUUUUAUAUGGGAAGCGGUACCAUAAGAAAAAGCCCCGGCUAACUACGUGCCAGCAGCCGCGGUAAUAC